rnacentral:rRNA from 1 species
CCUACGGGUGGCUGCAGUGGGGAAUAUUGCACAAUGGGCGCAAGCCUGAUGCAGCCAUGCCGCGUGUGUGAAGAAGGCCUUCGGGUUGUAAAGCACUUUCAGCGGGGAGGAAGGCGGUGAGGUUAAUAACCUCAUCGAUUGACGUUACCCGCAGAAGAAGCACCGGCUAACUCCGUGACAGCAGCCGCGGUAAUACGGAGGGUGCAAGCGUUAAUCGGAAUUACUGGGCGUAAAGCGCACGCAGGCGGUCUGUCAAGUCGGAUGUGAAAUCCCCGGGCUCAACCUGGGAACUGCAUUCGAAACUGGCAGGCUAGAGUCUUGUAGAGGGGGGUAGAACGCCAGGUGUAGCGGUGAAAUGCGUAGAGAUCUGGAGGAAUACCGGUGGCGAAGGCGGCCCCCUGGACAAAGACUGACGCUCAGGUGCGAAAGCGUGGGGAGCGAACAGGAUUAGAUACCCGUGUAGUC